rnacentral:lncRNA from 1 species
GGGAAAGUGACAGAUUGUCUCUUUCUCCUGGCUUUCUUCCAACAGUUUUAUGCUCCUUCUGCAGCUGGAAAUGGCUCCUUGACAGUGUCACUCAUAAGACUGGCAUGUUGUUUGCUCUGGACCUGUUCUGCCACCUCGAGAAUGGAGAGAAAUGACAGACCAGGAAGGAAAACAAAAAUACAUCCAACAUUAUGUAAGUUCACUGGAUCAAGGAACAAUUUUGAUAUGUGCUGGGUUGAUGGCCAGCUUCAUUGGAAACAAAUUCCAGCUCAUCUCCGUUUUCGGUGUUGCAACACAGAGAAGAACAACACAGACAUAGUCGGAACGGUAAGCAAUAUUAAAGAGCUUUGUAAUCCAAUCAA